UGGACGGUGGCCAGAGGAGGACAAGAGACUUCCAGAAAGAAUGGAGGGAUGAUUUGCGUGACAUAUGAAACGCAGUCGCACAUCAACAAGCAGCCGGGCUUUGGGGACGUGGCCACGGCCUCCGUGGUGCUGGGGCUGCUGAUGGCGACUGAGAGGAACCGGAGGGGAGCGCCCCCCGAGCCCGCAGCUGCCGCCGAGAUCCAAAUGGUAAUUCUGGCACUUGAAUACUGUAAGGAGACAAUUUGUCAUGCCUGCAUUGUGGAAAUGGUGUUCCAAGUGAAAGGCACAGCAUACAGUUGAAGCAGCACAUACCAGUGUUUCAGGGAGAGCGUCUGAUAUGUUAAAUAGAAGCUAUCUUUGUUGGGUUGUUUUCUGCCUUAAUGUCAAUCGAUAUGUUGGAAGUUAUCAAAAAGUUCAUGAGAAAUCCAUUUCAAAUUCUAAUGAAGGAAGAAUUGACCCUUGAAAGGACCAGUAUUUUAUAAUAUUUUUGAAAGAGGGUGGUGACAGAGAAAGAAAGAAAGAAAGAAAGAAAGAAAGAAAGAAAGAAAGAAAGAAAGAAAGAAAGAAGAAAGAAAGAAAGGCAUUAUCGGGAAGGAAUUCAGGUAUGGGACAAACCACGUUUUGAUUACUGCCAACUUACUGGUAUUUCAAUUCCUCAUUUAAUUAUAGUCAUCUGCCAAAAGUUGGUUUUGAGGGGAAGAUUUUUAGCAGUCUUUGUCAGCUCAAGCUAUGUGGGGAAAUAAAGCCCACACUCCACAGUGAGCUGUAUGAUUUCUAUGCAGUUCAUUACUGUUUGGUGGCCUGGAAGAGUGUGCAGCAGCUGCUGUUUGAAUCAGAACUUGAAUGUAUACUACCGUGAUCUCAGGCUCAUGAUUUUUAUGUACAAUGGUAUCUAUGGUUAUAAACUAUGCACCGCCCACCACUUGUGGAAACUGUAUUCUCAACUGAAUAUUUGUCAUCUUCAUUGAGUAUUUGCCUUUAUUCUGGUGAAAUAAAUUUAUGUGUUGUUGUUCAAGUGUGAUUCUGUCAGCCAGACAACCUUUAAAAUCAGGUAUAUGAAUGAGGACAACAAUCUUAUCAUCUAGUAACAUGGUAAGAUGUAUUUAAAUUCUACUUGGAGAGAUUCAUGGUUGAUCAGAACAUAGUAGAAAAACAAAUGUGAAAUGUAGCCCAGACUUUGGAUUUUGUACAAUUGAUAUUCAAAGGAAAAAUCAACAAUGCUGUUAGAUCCGGCUGCCUUAGCUUACACGUGAGUCCUUUUUUUUAGUCGUGUUAUUCAUAUCUUGUGCUUUCUUGGGGAUUCCUCUAUAACUGGGAUUUUGUUAGCAUUUUCUGGUAUCAAUUUACAUUGACACUGGCUUAGGUAUAGUGGUUUUAUUACUAAAUAAAUUAUGUCUUGCUACUAAUGUAAAAAUAACUUUAAAAAGAUAUAGAGGCACCAUGUCCAGCCGCAAAGGGGGCAGGAAGAAGCCCCCGAAGCAGCCCAAGAAGUAGGCCGAGGAGAUGGCCAACAUAAGGCGUUCAAGCAGGAGCCAAAAGAGGAGCAGAAGAAACUCCAGGAGCUAAAAGGCCAAGACCAGGCUGCAGGGAAGGGCCCCCGGUCACAGGCAGAACUAAGAAAUCUGGCAAAAAGUAAACUGUUCCUUGUGCCUGAGGCAAUGGUAAUCCUUAAUUCCAUUCCUGUUUAAACAUCUGGAUUCCCUGUCAUAACCCUGUUGCUGCCGAUAGCUAGUAGAAUGGAGUGUCUUAGAUCCUGUUGUACAUUUAAGAAUAAACUUUUGUUUUAAAAAAUCAAUCAUUAAAAUAAAAAAGAAAGACAAAAUUUAGUAGUCAACAAGAAUAGAUGAUGAGACGGUGCUCAGAGAUGGCACUGGCCUAAUUUAGGACAUGGUUUCACGAGUGAAACAGCAUGUAGUUUGGACAAAGAGCGAGUCAGUAUUUCCAUAUUUGUUUUUUUCUUGUUCCGGUUAUUUGAUAUUUUAAAUCGCUCCAGCCACGGCAUUUUUGAUUGGCUGUAUUAUCUGUUUUGGUAUAGAGCCAUGGUGGUACAUAUAUCUCAGCCAUCUGUGUUACGGUGUCUUAGGUGAACUGAGCAGAAAGCGGUGAUAAGUAUGGGUUAUCAUGACAGAUCUUUGGAAGUUCCUUCCACACACACACUAUAAAAAGUUAAGUCCUAGACCAAGUCUGUCCAAUAGAACUUUUGCAGCAAUGAAAAUAUUCUAUAUCUGUGCUGCCCAACACAGAAGUGACAGGCCACCAUGUAGCUACUGAGGUGUGGUUCAUGCAACCGGUUAACUAUAUUUUCUAUUUAAUUUUAAUUUCAAUAUCCACAUGUAGCUACUGGCUAUUGUAUUAGACUGCCUAGUCCUAAACAAUAGCUAACAUUCCAGAGUUUACAGUUGCACUUUAUAGUUCCAAAAGUGUGUCAAGACGAAUUACGUAAUUGUUCUUUUUGUUUAGUCUGUGGUGUUUACAUCUGUCCCAGGCCAACAACUGCUCUUGGCUAGCCCUCUUGGGUAUGGGCUUUAAUUCCACUACCACAAACACAAUACUGUCAUCUGCUUUAUAAAUAAUAAUGCUUAAGAUGCCUGAUAGAAUCUGAUUUUGCAGCCAAAGGAAUCCUUUCCACUAACUACAAAAGAAAUCCUUUUUCUCUCUAGAUAUUGUAAUUGGCAUCUAGUUAGAAUCACUCUAUAUAUAAUCUUGGGAAAUAAACAGCCACUGAUGGUUAACAAGUAGCUCAUAUUGUUAGUAGCUCAUAUUGUACUUGAUAAGCAAUAUUCUGAUUAAUAAUUUUUGUUUGUUCAGAAUUGGCAGUGGAGGCUGAUUUGGGAGGAAAGCUGUGGCCAUAAACAUUGAAGAAGACAAGUGGAUUCUUUGUGACAUUCAGACUUUCUACAAUAGCACAGUGGAGGAAAUGCCAAUGAAUGUGACUGACCUUAUUUAAUUCCUGGGAUGAGACAGUUUUGAAUGGAGCACUCGCUGUUGUGGAAUAGGUGAUGAUAACAUCCACUGUGCUUCUUUCUUUGGGAAUAUUUUAAGCUCGUCUCAAUGCUCAUAACGGAUCAAAAAUACAGAUUUCGAUGGUAACACUACUCUUACUCGUGAGCCCAUAUGAGGAUGGUCAUUGGUUUUAUCUGCUUCAGAAUUAGAAUAUUGGAGUUGGAUAUGACAGAUGGGGUUGUAACAAUUAUUCUUAGAAAUUUAUUUCCUAGUUCUGUAAAAAUGGUUAUAUUGAGUGUGCUCCAUCAUUUAAUACUAUAUUGUGGACUGGACAAUAUGUGCUGUAUAAAAGCAGCCAAUUGAGGUGCCUAGGUGGCCCACUUGGUUGGGCGUCCAACUUUGGCUCAGGUCAUGAUCUCACAGUUUGUGAGUUCAGGCCCCACAUUGGGCUCUGUGCUGAUGGCCAUUUGUGUUACGAGUUACGUGUGCCAUCAGCACAGAGCCUGGAGCCCACUUCAAGUUCUGUGUCUCUCCCUCUUUCUCUGCCUCUCCCCUGCCUGUGCUCACACUGUGUCUCUCUCUCAAAAAUAAAUAAACUUUAAAAAAAGAAAAGAAAAGAAAAAAAGCAGCCAAUUAUGGGGCGCCUGGCUGGCUCAGUCAGUGGAGCAUGUGACUCUUGAUUUUGAGAUUAUAAAUUUAAGCCCCAGGUUGGGUGUAGAGACUACUUAGAAAUAAAAUCUCUUUUAAAAAAAAGCAUCCAAUUAUAUUAAACUAGUUUAUCUGCUUUUAUUGCGUUAGUCAUUAGACUGAAUAAAACAAACUCAACAAUGUUUUUUUUUUAAAUAAAGUGAUUUCAUUUUGUAUGGUAUUGUGUUUUUACUUUGUAAUGUUACAGCAUCAGGCUGGAAUGCUGGCGGGAAAACCAAGCGGCACUUGGA